rnacentral:lncRNA from 10 species
GUUUCCUCCGCCUGGUGUAGCAAAAGUGUAAACACGCGCGCUCCGGAAGGCGCCCUCCAGUGGGAGGUUGCUCAGGGGAUGGCGGAGCUGUGAAACUCGGAGCUAGAAGGAAAGUCUCAACGCUUGUCUAAAUUUUGCUUUGUCGUGACGAGCUACCUAGACCCACGCAGAGCUAACUUGGGAGAGCGCUUGUGACGCUACGAACCUCUCGAACACCUGACGACUGGGCGCCAGGGCCGGAUGGAGGGUGGAGAGCCAGUGCGGCGCAGCUGCCUCCUCUUAACGGGGACACCUUGCAGGAAUGUGCGGAGUGGAGCUAACGGGAGCGGAUAGAAACCGAGGGAGGGGAAGAGAGCGCGAAGGCUUGGCCGGAAGGAGAGGUUAAAAAGGAAAGGCCUAAAAUGAGGAAGAGAGUUACCACAACAAGCAGUACCUAGUUCCAGUUCUUGGUCCCAGGAGUUUGUGGUUGUUGCUGCUUUCAUCUUCCUCAGCCAACACAAAAGGAAAGUGCCAAGGGGCGAUUCCUAGGACCUUCAGUGCAGUCUCCACCUUGCGGACUUGGCUCAUUUGUGUCCACUCCUUUCUCCAGCCUUUUACACUUGAUGCUCUUGGAUGAAUAGAAAGGAGCACAAUUAAUGGAAAACACAAGCUUGGGAGUCAAGGGAUUUGGGUUCUAUUCUUGUCCUCCCUUGGUGACGACAUCAUU